GCUCUCUGGCAGAGCGGAAUGGGUAAGGGAAAGCAGCCAGCGGGACUUGGGGGACGGAUUCAACUCACCCAGGACGAGGUGGCCGCCCGUCGGAGCAAGAAGGCACACGGGAGACCACCGACUCCAGAAGCAGAGGACAUUUCGGAAUGAAACAGAAAGUCACUCCGGGAUCCAAACCCGACCCUGGACUGCCCUUGGCCGCCCCCAGCCCUGCCAGGGAAGAGGGAAGACUCUGCCUGCCCCUCCCAGCUCCUGAGUGAGGAUUCCCUGAAGGAAAGUGCAGUGCAAAAGUCUCCACUCCAGGGCCCAGCUUUUUCACUUCUUGUUCUUCUUCCUCUCCCUCUUCUGCUUUUUUGAAUAUUUGUUCAGCUUUUUAACAUGCGGUUUGUCUCCUUCUGCAGGGAAUUAUUCAGUGAUCCCAUGACCUGACUCCCCUAGCCCUUAUGUAAUUCCAAUUGUGCCCUUUGAGUUCUGAUCAGAAAGCUGCACUUGCCUCCUGGGAGGGACCCAGUGCCCCCCAGAGGAGGGGAGGGAGAAGUGAGAGGGAGAGACACUCAAAACAGCAAACAGUGACAAUUAACCGUUCUAGGACCUUCCCUAGGGGCUGCUUUAUGCAGUGUGCUUGUAUUUCCCCCAGUUUGAUUCUCCUUCCUAAAUGCCAGGUGUAACAAGAGCCACUUCCUGGACUUUCUGUGCAUCCCAUAAGCCCCUGGGUGGAUUUUCCAAUGAUGGGGGUCUCGAGAGUUGAAAAGCCUGGUGUAGAUUUAUAACACAGGUAUAAACAGAACUUAAAACCUAUAACACUUAUAAUUGUCGCCAGGUAUCUGAAUUCUGUGAUGUGCCAAAGGACAACUUGGGUUGAGGGCCUGUAGCCAAACCUCCUGCCUCACCUUUGAUCCUCAUAAGCCCUCCCCAGGCCACCUCAGAUAAACAUAUCCAAGUCAAAAUUGCUUGCAUGCUGUGCAAACAUCCUUAAAAGCCAAGCUCCCCCCCUGAACUUCCAACCAUGUCAUAGUCCCUGGGGCCAGUUGAGUGGACAUUUUGAAGCUACCACCAUUUUGGGUGAAGGAAAUGAGACUCACUGCCUUUGGUCUUGAGUUUCCUGGCUCAGCAUCUGUGAUCUGUCCAAAUGACACCUAUUGAGGGUUCAAACAUAGAACUGGCCCAUGAAUGAGAAACUCUUGGAGAAACUGAAAUGGCAAUAAAUGAGCAGAAUACUGAAAGCCUCCUGAAAUGUGAGGAUCAAGUUUAAAAA